rnacentral:rRNA from 1 species
AACGAACGCUGGCGGCGCGCCUAACACAUGCAAGUCGAGCGAGAACCAGGGCUUCGGCCCUGGGGACAGCGGCGAACGGGUGAGUAUCACGUGGAUAACCUGCCAUCGGCACCGGAAUAGCCCGGGGAAACUCGGAUUAAUGCCGGAUAGCCCCUUCCUCCUGCGGGAGGUCGGGAAAAGGUAGCUUCGGCCUCUGGCCGAGGAUGGGUCCGCGGCGGAUUAGCUUGUUGGCGGGGUAAUGGCCCACCAAGGCGACGAUCCGUAGCUGGUCUGAGAGGACGAUCAGGCACACUGGGACUGAGACACGGCCCAGACUACUACGGGAGGCAGCAGUGGGUGAUCUUGCGCAAUGGGCGAAAGCCUGACGCAGCGAGGCCGCGUGCGGGAAGAAGGCCUUAGGGUUGUAAACCGCUUUCAGGAGGGACGAAGCCACUCGGGUGAAUAACCCAGAGGGUGACGGUACCUCCAGAAGAAGCCCCGGCUAACUACGUGCCAGCCGCCGCCGUAAGAC